rnacentral:rRNA from 1 species
GAUGAACGCUAGCGGCAGGCUUAAUACAUGCAAGUCGAGGGGCAGCACGGGUAGCAAUACCUGGUGGCGACCGGCAAACGGGUGCGGAACACGUACGCAACUUUCCCAAAACUGGUGAAUAGCCCUCCGAAAGGAGGAUUAAUACACCGUAACAUAAUGAAGUGGCAUCACUUUAUUAUUAUAGCUCCGGCGGUUUUGGAUGGGCGUGCGCCUGAUUAGGUAGUUGGCGGGGUAACGGCCCACCAAGCCUUCGAUCAGUAACUGGUGUGAGAGCACGACCAGUCACACGGGCACUGAGACACGGGCCCGACUCCUACGGGAGGCAGCAGUAAGGAAUAUUGGUCAAUGGACGCAAGUCUGAACCAGCCAUGCCGCGUGAAGGAUGAAGGUCCUCUGGAUUGUAAACUUCUUUUAUCUGGGACGAAAAAAGGGAUUCUUUCUCACUUGACGGUACCAGAGGAAUAAGCACCGGCUAACUCCGUGCCAGCAGCCG